rnacentral:lncRNA from 1 species
UUUUUUUUUUUUUUUUUUUUGACACUUCUGUUAGAAGAAGGAGUACCAGGGGAUGUGAUGAUUUCAUGAUUAAGGGAAACUGCAUCAUGGUCUUUUGGGUCUUAUGAUGUCCUUAAAACUUAUUUAAUUGAUUUUAAAAUAGUUUAUUACUUUGUAAAAUAUUACAAAGAUUUAAAAUCAUUUAUUCAAUAUGACUGUUGUGCAUAUGACUAGAUACUGAAACUCUAGGGGCUUUGUCUUUUUUUUUUUAUUUUAAAGGCUGAUUAUAUGUGCCACCAGAUUUGUCUUUCUGUAAUAUGUCCUAGGAAGGGAGAUUUUAAUUGAGAAGCAUGAUUAAUAACAAAAAUUUAUUGGUUAGAAAAGCUAGUCAUUUAAGAAGAUCCAAAUAUGAUUGCAGCAAUGGUCCUUUCUGUCAAUUUCUGUCAUUUGAUUUUUCUCUAGUUGACCCCACAAUUUUCUUUCAAAGGUCAGUUCUCUCAUCAUGUGCAAUAUGGAGCCUAAUAUGUUGGUAAUAAAAUGAAUAGUAUCAGGCAUUUUUUUUCAAAAUACCAAAUGACUGCAAUCAUUUUUCUUGUGUGUCAUCUGAUGUGUCUAGACAUAGACACAUGCCAGAAAGGCAGGUAGGAAUAUUCACACGUGUUGACAGUUUUUCCAUUUUUGCUAAUUCCUUAGUGAUUAUAAGCAUACUUAAAAUGUGUUCAUCCUUGUAUACCAGCAUAAUUUUAAGAGAGUGUGAUAUUUUUUUCAGAUAAAUUCUAGGCAUAUCAUUUUUGGAUCAGAUUUAGAUGUUAAUAGUGUGUGGUAGUUUAUUAAAAUACUUCUAUUUUAACAAGGUUUGGCAAUGUCAUAUUAAAAAACAGGUACUAGCAUAUGCUCACACAUUUAAAAUUUGUAUUUUGUCCAUGUUACUGCGUUUUCUUUCUCAUUCUCGAGAAGCAUUAUUAUGUUAUAACCUUAAUUUAAAAGAGUAGAAACUAUGAGAAAUAUUUAACAUUUAACCAUUUAUUUACAGUAAUGUAUUUUUAUAGUUAUUUUUUUUAUUGCACUUUGUCUUAAAAUGCUUGAUCAAAAAUAGACAGUAAUCCAGAAGAAAAAUACUUACAUGAUACUGCCUUGAAAUCUUUAAACAUCUGCUCAUGGUAUCCUCAAAAUUAAUUUAAUAGAUUUAAUUAUCAUUUAUUCUUUUACAAAAAGUUAUGCCAAUUUCAAAAAGUACUUUUAGUAACUAGUAGGAAGAGCAUGGGGUCUAUUUAUUUGAGAUCAUCUUUCUUUAUAAAAUCACAGGUGGAGAUCUAGAAAUCAUGAGACCACUCUCUCAUUCAAUGUGGAAAUAGUCUCCAUAAUAUCCAUGAUAAGUUUAUUUAUUUACUCAACAAAUAUUAAUUGAUUACCUACUAUGAACCAGAUACUCAUCCAGUCAUUGUGAACAGAGCAGCGCAUCAAGUAAAUUCCCUGCUUCAUAGAGCUUGCCUCCUACUGCAAAAAUAUGGACUAUAAACAAAACAAAAUCGCUGAAAUAAUAGGAAGGGAUAAAUGCUAAUGAAACAAGCAGGAUCAAGGGAUAUGGUGAUUUUAUACAAGGUGAUCAAGGGAAGAUCUCUUUAAUGUCAUGGUGUUCAGCAGAAUCCUAUAUGUCCCUGUAGGAAUAGGCUGCAUGGCUGUAUAUAUAAAGAACAUGAUGAUCACAGGGCUUAGCAAGUGCAAAGGCCCCAGGGACACGAUGUGUUUAGCAAGGGGUGAGUAUGGCUAGAGCAAGGGAGCAAGUGGGGAGAAGGGUGAGAGAGGUGGCCAGCUGACAGAUCAUGCAUGGCAGGUCUUCAUCACUUCCCAGAGUUUCCUUCAAUGUCUGUCAUGCUUGGUAGGCAAGACCUAUUUCUCAAUACCUCGUGAGGAACCUGUAUUGUCCAUUUAGUCCACAAAUCCACCUUAGGUGGUAAGAAAUAUUAUCCUAAGUUUAUAGUUGACAGUGUAAGUAAUUCUCCUGAGCCCAGAGCACACGAGCUGGGGAUCUCUCUCCCUCUCCCUCGGCUUGUAAGCAGAUGUCUACAAAGUUUAUAGGGGGUGAUUGAAGAAUGGUGAUUAAGGAUGGGUGGGGAGAAGAUAUGCUGUCCCCCAAGUUUGGGGACUCUUCAUUUAAAUGACAGUGUCAGAGUUUACAAUUGCUGUUUUGCAAUUGAUAAACAAUUGACAAUUUGCUUGGUAAAAUAUGUGAGUAACAGAAGUGGCUCCAUCUACCUGAAGCUGAUUUCACUGCCUAGCUGUAGCCUCCUUUAGAUUUCAGUUAGUAGUAAACACAAAAUGCUGAAAUAAAUAUACAUCUUGUCCAAUUGCAGUUUCUAUGCCUUGUAAAUAUGUUUUCUUGCCAAUUUUAAAUGCUUAAAUUAUAACAUUAUGGUUAUUUUAGAAAUCACUUGUAGCCUCGUAUAGUUCAGAUCUCUGGAUAAUAUCAGAUAGUCACAUAAUUCAUAGGAUCUCUGGUUUAAAGUAUGACGGUUUUCCUUUUUUUUUUUUUUUACCAGCAGAGGGCACACUUCACAACUCUGUUUGCCUUUUCAACAAAAGGCACAGAUGAAUUAGAAAUAUAUAUAUAUAUUUUAAGGCUUUCAAAAAUAGACUUUCAAAAUCUCUGUACAUUGUUUCCAAAACAAAAACAUCAUGAAAUGGAAGAACAGGUAAGAUCUAGUCAAUACAGGUUAGAUUUUAUUAUACUGUUCAAAGUCCUCCAACAGAUGUUAAAAGUUUUUAUAAAGAGAAGAAAAAAAGUACAAUAAUAAAGCCUUGCUGUGAAACUUAACAAUGUUUAAAGAGGGAAAACAGGUUUAUUUUGCUGACUAGAGCUAUAUAUGAAAAUAAUGAAAUGAAAAUUUUAAUAAAUGACGUCGGGUAGAUUAUCAAAGACUUUCUUUGCAGUUGCUUCUUUUUCAGAUAGGAGUUUUCAUUGGCAGGUUUGCAUAUUAGAAAGAGCGCUGAAAGAGCGCUGAGCUUCAUUCGGGCUGCUUAUGUUUUGCACAGUUUAGGACAAAUAACCUGUCUAUACCUCACUUUCCAUAUCUGUAAAAUGCAUGUCGUCAUGCCUGCCUGAAUUAUUUGUGUGAGUUACUGGAAAGAAAGGUUGGAGAGAGAGAACCUGCAUCGUAGGCCAGCUCUACGACCCUAGACCAGUCAUUGACUAUCUCUGGACCUCGAUUAUCUACUUUGGAGUAGAUUGUAAUCUAGAUGAUUUGUGGUCCCUGAAAGAACUUUUAUGCUAAAAUUUUGUGCUAAAAUGGCUAGUAAACAAAGUAUUAUAUGAUAUGUAACUGAAUAAUGAAGGCUGCAUUUCCCUGUAUUUUAAAUUUAUAUCAUGUGUGAAUUUCCCGGAACAUGUUUGUAUUCUGAAGCCACAGUGAUCAGUAUUUAAGGCCUGAUGGGAAAGAGGGGAAAAAAGCAAGACUUACAUGGAGACAGUACAAAUCAAAGACCCUUAAAGGUCGCCAGUAUGACUGACCAUCAAGGGAAUGUUACCGUCUUCCCAAGCACCUCCCUUCCCAGGAACAAAGCAACCCUCUAGUUAUGAAUGCAUGACUUGUGAAUGCAUUCACUUAUUCACUAACUAAACAACAGUGUUGCUUAUCCUGCGUGUUCUUAAGACCCUUUUCGCGCUAUCACAUUUCCCACCAAGUUUAGAGAUCCUGCUUUGCUUUUUCUCUGCUCAGAUCUGAGCAGAGAUGAGAUAUGCUCUCUUCCCUUUUGCGAUACAGCUGUUUGCAGCUCAAGUAAUUUUUUUGCUCUUUAAACAUAUUUUUGUUGUCCCCUCCCCCCUUCCAGCUGUUGCUUAGUAAUCUCAGAAAGACCUGAUUUCCUUCACCCUUUUCUGGCUCUCCUUAUAUUUCAUUUUGAUGAAUUGAAAAGGCCCUAUCUGUGGAUUACAAGUAUGAGAGCAGUGCUGGUGAUCCACUUGUGACAGGGAUAAGGGAAACCCUGCUUUGAAGUGAAAAUAGACGUGACAAAGACUCCAUUUCUAAUAGCCUUGACAGGCCUUGAAGUCCCCUUCAGAAAUGACAUAGAAGUUUCCAACUUUCUUCUCACUUUCUUAAAUUAACUAUGGCUGCUCUUAAGUGUUGGCAUUUGAGAUGAAAUAAUACUUCUUAUUACUUGCUUUGCUUUUCCAAUAAAGCUUUAUUGAGGUAUAAUUGAUAUGUUAGAAACUGCAUUUAUUAUUUCAUACAAUUCGAUGCGUUUGGGCAGAUGCAGACACCCAUGAUACCAUCACCACAGCCAAGGUAAUAGAUGCAUAAUGUCCCAAAGUUGCUUUACAUCUUGCAUUUUUACUCAGUUCAUUGAUAUUGAGAUGGUUUAAUUCACUAUUACCCAUUUAUAACAUAGAGUAUUUUAGAUUCCUGUAAAUUAAAUAUGCUUUUGCAGACUGACUUCUGGAUCUACAAUUAGGACAUUUCUUACCUGUGGGGGAAAAAUGCAGAAAUCAAUUUUAAGACUAUAACAUGCUGUCAAUCAGAAACUUUCUAUUUUUUUUUUUUUGAGCCUAUUUCCUGUAGAAAGAUUACAAAUGUGGAAUCUGCAAGUUUAUACUGCAAUCUGGUUCUGGUUCUGUUGAAAUCAAGUAACACAUGGAGAAUAUUUAUGUUUUUUUCAUUUAAAUGUAUUUAUUGUAUAUCUACUACAUAGUGGGCAUUGCUUUAGGUACUUGCUAUGUAUGAGUAAAUAAGGCAGAUUAAACUUUGGACCCUCAUGGAGGGUCUGGUAGUCAGGGGUGGGGCAAGGAAAAGGCAAUGAACAUAAUAAAUAGAUUAUAUAGUAUAGUAAAUAGUUAAAAGUACAAUGGUAAAAAGAAAAAAUACAAUAGGGUGUGAGGAGUGGGAAUGCUAGGAUGAGGGGAGUUUCAAUUUUAAAUAGGCUUUCAGGGUUGGCCUCAUUCAGAGGCUGAAAUUUAGGCAAAACUGAAAUAAGGCAAAGGAGGAGAUGGUGUAGAUGUAUCUAGGCAAAGGGCGACCCAGGUAGAGGAAUUAGUCCAGGCAAAAGUUUGGAGGAAGGGCCAUGUCAGGUGGAUUUGAGGAAAAGUGAAGGGGCCAGUGUUGGAAUGGAAGAGCAGUAGGAGGGGGAAUCAGAGAUAAGGGGUACAGGUCGCGGCUGGGGUUGUAAGCCACUGCUUGGACUUGGAUUUUACUGUGAAUGAGAUGGAAGCCACUUUGAGAGUACUGGAUAGAGGAAUGGCGUGAUUUGAUUGACAUGUUUAAAGCCUGUUUCUGGCUGCUGUCUAGAGAAUAGAUAAAAAUAGAGGCUGGGGGACCUGCUAGGAGACUAACAUGGUAAUCUAGGUGAGAAAUGAUGUGAUGAGAGGGGAAUGGAGGCAGGGAUCUAUGUGAAGACGUGAUUAUAAUGAUUUGCCGUGGAAUUUUGAGUAUGGAGGGUAGAGAGAUGUCAGAAGGAUGAAGGGCGGUGAAGAUUAGUAGAAUCAAUGCUCUGCAAGCUCCCAAGAGAUUUAAGCAUUGUUGGGAUGAACUGAGGUUCUAGAAGUAAUAUGCUUGAAAAUAGAAAGUGGUCAGGAAGUGGGAUGCUUGAAAUUUUGGAGAACUUGUAGGUAAUAAAAUGGUGAGGAAUGGGUCUUGGGAGUGAGUGGCUGGGGUAGGGUGUGGGAUAGGAUUUUUGGAAGAGAGAAAUUUGAGAAGAGGCUAGAGUGUUGAAGGCCUUUCUAUGUAUGAACUGAAAUAGCCAAAAAUUAGCAUAGGUGGUGUGUUUUAGGAAGCCGUGGUGAACUAGGAGUUAACAUCAUCAAACAGUGAGUAGGAAUGACUCAGGUCUCAGUAGAUGACAUCAACAAUGAUUACAUCUGAUAAGAUUCCAGCUAGGAAAUGUUAUGGAGUUAGGGAGGAGAGAAGGGGGAUGUAAUGAACGGGAUGUUACAAAUACAAUGAGAAUGUCAGAGGAGAAGGAAGCUGGAAUGAGAAGCUAGGGGGACAUGGACCCCACCUGUAGGCCCAGUUGUGUAAAGGUUGGGACAGAAAGCCAGCACUUGAGAUGUGAGGGAAGCAGAGUGCUCAAGGAGGAGCCAGGAUUUCUGGAAGGGAGAGAAACUGAAUAUUACAACAGGACUACUAUCCCACUGAAAGGCGAAACCAAGACAUAUCUUUUAUGACAGAAGCAUAUGCCUCUCAGAAAACUUCCCCUCCACCCCCUUUUUUAACCCCAAGAAAUCAAAUCUACAUAAUGCAACCUCCAUAAAAAUCCAAGAAACCACCUUUUUGGUGGUUUUCUUUUUUCUUUUCUCCUCCUCCUCCUCCUUCUUUCUUUUUUUUCUUCCUCCUCCUCCUCCUCCUCCUCCUCCUCCUUCUUCUUCUUCUUCUUCUUCUUUUCUUCUUCUCCUCCUCCUCCUCCUCCUUCUUCUUCUUCUUCUUCUUCUUCUUCUUCUUCUUCUUCUUCUUCUUCUUCUUCUUCUUUCUUCUUCUUCUUCCUUUUCUUUCUUCUUUCUUCUUCUUCCUUUUUUUUUUUUUUUUUACAGUUUCCAUGCUUAGGAAAUCAAAGAGCUUCCAUGUGCCACUGGACUCCAUGAAGACUCCCUGGGCUUCUCCCUGGUUUUCUUUUCUUUUUUCUUUUCUCCUCCUCUUCCUCCUCCCUCCUCCUCCUCCUUUCUUCUUCUUUUUUCUUUUCUUUUCUUUUUUUUUUUUUUUUUUAACAGUUUCCAUGCUUAGGAAAUCAAAGAGCUUCCAUGUGCCACUGGACUCCAUGAAGACUUCCUGGGCUUCACGAGGACAGAAGCUACUUUGUUCAGGACCUCAUCCUAUGUAUCUUUUCAUCUGGCUCUUGAUUUUUUAAAAAAGAUUUUAUUUAUCCAUGAGAGAUACAGAGAGAGAGGCAGAGACACAGGCAGAGAGAGAAGCAGGCUGCCUUCAGAGAGUCUGAUGUAAGACUCAAUCCAAGGACCCCAGGAUCACGCCCUGAGCCAAAGGCAGAUGCUCAACCACUGAACCACCCAAGUGCCCCCUGGCUCUUGAUUUGUACCGUUGAUCAUACAUACCCUUUAACAAACCGGCAAACCUAAGGAAGUGUUUCCUGGGAGUUCCGUAAGCUACUCUAGCAAACUAAUCAAAUCUAAGGAGGGAGUC